rnacentral:rRNA from 1 species
AUUGAACGCUGGCGGCAUGCUUUACACAUGCAAGUCGAACGGUAACAGGGAGCUUGCUCCGCUGACGAGUGGCGAACGGGUGAGUAAUGCAUCGGAACGUGCCCAGUCGUGGGGGAUAACGUAGCGAAAGUUACGCUAAUACCGCAUACGUCCUGAGGGAGAAAGCGGGGGACCGUAAGGCCUCGCGCGAUUGGAGCGGCCGAUGUCGGAUUAGCUAGUUGGUGGGGUAAAGGCCUACCAAGGCGACGAUCCGUAGCGGGUCUGAGAGGAUGAUCCGCCACACUGGGACUGAGACACGGCCCAGACUCCUACGGGAGGCAGCAGUGGGGAAUUUUGGACAAUGGGGGCAACCCUGAUCCAGCCAUGCCGCGUGAGUGAAGAAGGCCUUCGGUUGUAAAGCUCUUCUAGACGGAAAGAAAACGACAUACGGUGGAA